GGUAAAAAAAAGGUAAGCUACUAAGAGCGAAUGGUGGAUGCCUUGACUGGUAAAGGCGAUGAAGGACGUACUAGACUGCGAUAAGCUACGGGGAGCUGUCAAGAAGCUUUGAUCCGUAGAUUUCCGAAUGGGGCAACCCAAUGUAUAGAGAUAUACAUUACCUAUAUAGGAGCGAACGAGGGGAAUUGAAACAUCUUAGUACCCUCAGGAAAAGAAA
rnacentral:rRNA from 1 species